rnacentral:rRNA from 1 species
GUCUUUUUGAUUAUAAUUUAAAGUCUAACCUGCCCAAUGAAAAUUUAAAUGGCCGCGGUAUUUUGACCGUGCAAAGGUAGCAUAAUCAUUAGUUUUUUAAUUGAAAGCUAGAAUGAAUGGUUGGACGAGAAAAUUACUGUCUCAAUUUAAUUUAAUUAGAAUUUUAUUUUUAAGUUAAAAAGCUUAAAUUUUUUUAAAAGACGAGAAGACCCUAUAGAGUUUUAUAUAUAAUUAUUUAUUUUUUUUUUAUAAUUUUAAUUAAAUAAUAUUAUAUUUUAUUGGGGUGAUAAAUAAAUUUAAUUAACUUUAUUUAAUUUAUUACAUAUAUUUAUGAAUAAAUGAUCCAUUUUUUAUGAUUAAAAGAUUAAAUUACCUUAGGGAUAACAGCGUAAUUUUUUUUGAGAGUUCUUAUCGAAAAAAAAGAUUGCGACCUCGAUGUUGGAUUAAAAUUUAUUCUUGGUGUAGAAGCUAAGUUAUUAAGUCUGUUCGACUUUUAAAAUUUUACAUGAUCUGAGUUUAAACCGGUGUGAGCCAGGUUGGUUUCUAUCUUUAAAUAUAAUAAAAUAUUUUAGUACGAAAGGACCAAAUAUUUAUAAAAUUUAUUAUUUUUUGAAUAA